GACGAACGCUGGCGGCGUGCCUAAUACAUGCAAGUCGAACGAACUCUGGUAUUGAUUGGUGCUUGCAUCAUGAUUUACAUUUGAGUGAGUGGCGAACUGGUGAGUAACACGUGGGAAACCUGCCCAGAAGCGGGGGAUAACACCUGGAAACAGAUGCUAAUACCGCAUAACAACUUGGACCGCAUGGUCCGAGCUUGAAAGAUGGCUUCGGCUAUCACUUUUGGAUGGUCCCGCGGCGUAUUAGCUAGAUGGUGGGGUAACGGCUCACCAUGGCAAUGAUACGUAGCCGACCUGAGAGGGUAAUCGGCCACAUUGGGACUGAGACACGGCCCAAACUCCUACGGGAGGCAGCAGUAGGGAAUCUUCCACAAUGGACGAAAGUCUGAUGGAGCAACGCCGCGUGAGUGAAGAAGGGUUUCGGCUCGUAAAACUCUGUUGUUAAAGAAGAACAUAUCUGAGAGUAACUGUUCAGGUAUUGACGGUAUUUAAUCAGAAAGCCACGGCUAACUACGUGCCAGCAGCCGCGGUAAUACGUAGGUGGCAAGCGUUGUCCGGAUUUAUUGGGCGUAAAGCGAGCGCAGGCGGUUUUUUAAGUCUGAUGUGAAAGCCUUCGGCUCAACCGAAGAAGUGCAUCGGAAACUGGGAAACUUGAGUGCAGAAGAGGACAGUGGAACUCCAUGUGUAGCGGUGAAAUGCGUAGAUAUAUGGAAGAACACCAGUGGCGAAGGCGGCUGUCUGGUCUGUAACUGACGCUGAGGCUCGAAAGUAUGGGUAGCAAACAGGAUUAGAUACCCUGGUAGUCCAUACCGUAAACGAUGAAUGCUAAGUGUUGGAGGGUUUCCGCCCUUCAGUGCUGCAGCUAACGCAUUAAGCAUUCCGCCUGGGGAGUACGGCCGCAAGGCUGAAACUCAAAGGAAUUGACGGGGGCCCGCACAAGCGGUGGAGCAUGUGGUUUAAUUCGAAGCUACGCGAAGAACCUUACCAGGUCUUGACAUACUAUGCAAAUCUAAGAGAUUAGACGUUCCCUUCGGGGACAUGGAUACAGGUGGUGCAUGGUUGUCGUCAGCUCGUGUCGUGAGAUGUUGGGUUAAGUCCCGCAACGAGCGCAACCCUUAUUAUCAGUUGCCAGCAUUAAGUUGGGCACUCUGGUGAGACUGCCGGUGACAAACCGGAGGAAGGUGGGGAUGACGUCAAAUCAUCAUGCCCCUUAUGACCUGGGCUACACACGUGCUACAAUGGAUGGUACAACGAGUUGCGAACUCGCGAGAGUAAGCUAAUCUCUUAAAGCCAUUCUCAGUUCGGAUUGUAGGCUGCAACUCGCCUACAUGAAGUCGGAAUCGCUAGUAAUCGCGGAUCAGCAUGCCGCGGUGAAUACGUUCCCGGGCCUUGUACACACCGCCCGUCACACCAUGAGAGUUUGUAACACCCAAAGUCGGUGGGGUAACCUUUUAGGAACCAGCCGCCUAAGGUGGGACAGAUGAUUAGGGUG
rnacentral:rRNA from 1 species